UACGUAGGGGGCAAGCGUUGUCCGGAAUCAUUGGGCGUAAAGCGCGCGUAGGCGGCCCGGUAAGUCCGCUCUGAAAGUCCAGGGCUCAACCCUGGAAAGCGGGUGGAUACUGCCGGGCUCGAAUCCGGAAGAGGCGAGCGGAAUUCCUGGUGUAGCGGUGGAAUGCGCAGAUAUCAGGAGGAACACCAAUAGCGAAGGCAGCUCGCUGGGACGGUAUUGACGCUAAGGCGCGAAAGCGUGGGGAGCAAACAGG
rnacentral:rRNA from 1 species